AUUAGAAAAAUUUGACAUGAGUUUUGAAUAUUGUUCUUUUAAAGGAGUAAAUUGAAAUGUUUCCUUUCUUAUCAGCAAAUUCUACGGUUUCAGCAGAGUAAGAUACGUGCCGAGUCGAUGCGCGCGCAACCGACACGGAGUAGGGUUGGGUCAUGUGGUGGUGGGGGUCGGGCCGCACAGCUGAUUUUGACAUUUCUAGUCGAGCCGCCGUAAAG